rnacentral:lncRNA from 1 species
CUCAUAAUACAGAAAUUGUUCAGUAAGACAGAAAAGUAGGCCACAAAAAGACUAUCUUAGUGUUUAUCUGGGUAUCUGACUUGUACAGUACACGAAUGAUGUCCUCUGACACUAUAGUUUGUAUUCCAGCCAGUACUGACAAGAACACAGAGGACCCAGCAGUGCACCUGAUCCCCGUUGCCCUGGACAACCUCUCCCCACAGCGCUUUGCCUUCUUCCUGUUCGGCUGUCAUGUUGUGAAAUUGCGGUGCAACACCCAAAUCUUCCCUCCCGGUCACUCUGCUUCUGGCCAAAAUGGUUCCUGUCUCAGCCUACGAGGGCGUGGUGUCACACUGCAAUGGGCACUUUUAUUUUGACACCACCAAUCAGAUUCUGUAUCUCUGUGAGGCAAAGCUUGAGAGUGUUGGACAGUUUAUUGCCACUCUCCUACAGUCUAUGGCCUUUAUUGCUUCAGGUGCCAAGCCUGAAAGCUUCAUGCAAGCCAUCCAUCAUGCCAUCUAUGCUUUGAGCCUUCAGUUGUUUAUCUCCUCUUUCACAUAUGAAGCAAACAAGGCAAAGAGGGACACCUCACUGAAUUCAGACCAGCCUCCUGGGAAGUUAGAGGGGGACUUUCUCAAUGUCUCUGUCCCCACUGAAAGCCUGUUCACAGAGCACCUCUUGUCAGACAGGUUUGUGUUACACUUUUGAGAAUUACUUCAUUAAAAUUGUAAAAUCGUAUUAAACGGGAUGAGGCGGUGCCAGCUAGACGGCAACAGUCCAGAGGAAAAGGAGCACACCAGAGAACACCCAGAGCCAGACAACCAUAGAGCAGAUGGUCAGGAGGAACACAGUAAUUAUCCAGACCAUGAAGAUCUAGAAAGCAGGGUACCAAAGAACCAUAAACUAGAAGAUAACCAGAGCCCAUACAAUCAGGAAGUAGAAAGCCAGGGAUCACGCAGUCAGAUGACACCCAUGGGUAAAAAAGGCUACACAGAACUAGAUGUAUGGGAAUGAGCCAGUCAGAAGCAUGUGAAAAUGGAGCACUACUGAAGUGUGUGGUUUUGGUAUGAUUUGUCUUCUUGUGAUUUUGUUAAUCACAUCUGAUUUAAUCAAACUGGUCAUUUUCAUUGGACUGAUAUUUAUUAAAGAUAUGAAUUAUGCUUGUGCCAUACCUGUCACGCCCUGGUCUUAGUAUUUUGUGUUUUCUAUAUUUAUUUGGUCAGGCCAGGGUGUGACAUGGGUUUAUUUUGUGUUGUGUUUAGGUAUGGGGAUUUUUCGUAGGUUUUGGGAUUGUGGCUUAGUGGGGUGUUCUAGAAAAGUCUAUGGUUGCCUGAGGCGGUUCUCAAUCAGAUUCUCGUUGUCUCUGAUUGGGAACCAUAUUUAGGCAGCCAUUAGGGCUUUUAUAAUAGGGUAUUGCAAGAGGAAAAAAAAAAGGGAGGAGAGGAGGGAGGUGGAACGAUCCAAAGGUUAAUUGAACUCUAAAACGAGGCAGGCAACCUCGGCGGGUCUGUUGACUGGGAGAGAUCCGCAACCCAAAAGGCGCAGCUC